GCCGCCUUAGCUCAGUUGGUAGAGCGACGCUCUUGUAAAGCGUAGGUCGUCGGUUCGAGGCCGACAGGCGGCUCCA
rnacentral:tRNA from 3 species